rnacentral:tRNA from 1 species
CUUGAAGGUAUGGCUGAGUGGCUUAAGGCAUUGGUUUGCUAAAUCGACAUACAAGAAGAUUGUAUCAUGGGUUCAAAUCCCAUUUCCUCCGGAACAGAAGUGAAACGGGCGGGCGAAAUGACGUGAGAGAAAGAACCUCUUGGUAGAGUCCAGCCCCCCAGAAUAGCACUACUUAGUGACUAGGAGCGGAG